UUGUGGUAAUACACAGAAUCCACUUUUUGGAAUUCCUGCGGAAGUAGAUCUUAGAAACAAAUGGUUUGAAUCACUUUCAAAAUUUUGUGAUCUGACCAAGAUAAACGAUCAUACUGUUGUGUGUUCCAAACAUUUUGCAACAGAAUGUAUUGUUAGAAGCGCAAAAAGUACUCGUCUUAAUAAACAAGCGGUUCCGUUUA